AUCUACGGCCAUACACACUGGAAAACACCGGGUCUCGUCCGAUCCCCGAAGUCAAGCCAGUGCUGGCGCAGUCAGUACUAUGAUGGGUGACCGCAUGGGAAUACUGCGUGCUGUAGGUU
rfam:Microsporidia sp. TGP3 contig-3, whole genome shotgun sequence.